AAGAAGAAAAAAAAACGUGCUGAGCGCUCCGCUACUGUGUUCAUGUCCUCUUCUGAGCCUGAAGAUGAAAUAAAACCACAACUGCUGUAAGCAGGACGCCGUCUUCACAACUCGGAGACAAAUUGCAGGCGCUAUGAACCGGAGCAAGGACUAAGCACGCCUCAUAAUGAGGCGGUGACCUCCUAUUUGCUCUGAGCAAUAACUGCAAGUCCAAUUUACACGAUGUUGAUAAAGACGACAUUGUGUCCGCUUGUAAGACGUAUUAUGAGACGGUACGCAGGAGCUGAAGCUGCCAAGAGUUCAGCUCGGAGUCGAGCUAGAAGAAAGAGGCUGCUGGAAUCGAGGCAGAGUGUGCAGGCGGAUGUGGAAGUGGAACUCUGGAAGUCCGCCACCAUCGACCUCAUGUCUGGCGAAGAAGAUGGCGUCGUUGGCGGAGUCUCCGGAGGGAUUGUACCAUAGACAUAAUAUAUAUGUCUAUGGAUUGUACGGCCGCCGUCUUUUCGUAGGGUUGUGCGCAAUUCUGUUCCCCCGUGAAAAUCUGUUUCCCCCGUGUCGGGAACGCGCUUUGCAGCCAU